rnacentral:tRNA from 1 species
GGCCAGUGUGGCAUGGUGGAUUGACUGUUGGACUACAACUCUGGAGACCAGAGUUCGAUUCCCAGCAUGGCCA